UUGAUAGAGGCGCGGGAUUCAUAAGUAUGGCAGAGUAAGAGGCAGGGCAGCCGUCUGCAGAAAAGGGGAGACCGCCGAAGAAGGCAGAAGAGCCAGUUUCAUGCCGUCUGGGAUGGCGCAGAAUAUGCGUCAUACUGUCACUUAUGUGGAGCGCUAUCA
rnacentral:ncRNA from 1 species